rnacentral:rRNA from 1 species
UGGGAAUAUUGCGCAAUGGGCGAAAGCCUGACGCAGCGACGCCGCGUGAGGGAUGAAGGUUUUCGGAUCGUAAACCUCUGUCAGAAGGGAAGAAACUACAUUGUGCUAAUCAGCAGUGUACUGACGGUACCUUCAAAGGAAGCACCGGCUAACUCCGUGCCAGCAGCCGCGGUAAUACGGAGGGUGCAAGCGUUAAUCGGAAUUACUGGGCGUAAAGCGCACGUAGGCUGUAGUGUAAGUCAGGGGUGAAAUCCCACGGCUCAACCGUGGAACUGCCUUUGAUACUGCACAACUUGAAUCCGGGAGAGGGUGGCGGAAUUCCAGGUGUAGGAGUGAAAUCCGUAGAUAUCUGGAGGAACAUCAGUGGCGAAGGCGGCCACCUGGACCGGUAUUGACGCUGAGGUGCGAAAGCGUGGGGAGCAAACAG